rnacentral:rRNA from 1 species
GNCNUGNGNGUGCUACCAUGCAGCGAGCGAUCUCUUCGGAGAGAGCGGCGGACGGGUGAGUAACGCGUGGGUAACCUGCCCUGUACACACGGAUAACAUACCGAAAGGUAUACUAAUACGGGAUAACAUANGAAAGUCGCAUGGCUUUUGUAUCAAAGCUCCGGCGGUACAGGAUGGACCCGCGUCUGAUUAGCUAGUUGGUAAGGUAAUGGCUUACCAAGGCAACGAUCAGUAGCCGACCUGAAGAGGGUGAUCGGCCACACUGGAACUGAGACACGGUCCAGACUCCUACGGGAGGCAGCAGUGGGGAAUAUUGCACAAUGGGCGAAAGCCUGAUGCAGCAACGCCGCGUGAGCGAUGAAGGCCUUCGGGUCGUAAAGCUCUGUCCUCAAGGAAGAUAAUGACGGUACUUGAGGAGGAAGCCCCGGCUAACUACGUGCCAGCAGCCGCGGUAAUACGUAGGGGGCUAG